GUGUUGUAUAAAUGUGUGUGAAUGGGCCGAUAUAAGACUAGUGUUAUAUAAAUGCAGUCCAGUCAUUUACCAUUUACAAGAACAUCUCAAAUAUACAAAACUUACUAAUGAAGUGGAAUUACUGUAGAUUAUGCAAAUCAACUAAAAACAUUGGACCAGCGUCACUCACAUAUAACCACUCACCAUUCUUUUGUCCUGUCAGCAGGAAGGAGGCAGCAAGAAGCCGUACACAGUGCACCAGUGGCUCCUUCCCCUGAGCUGUGUAAUGUCCGAUCGGACCCUUUAUCCGGGAUUGCUAAGAGGCAAGCAGAAGAGAUUUAUAAUCAAAACACAGGAAAUUAUGCCGUUUUGCUUCCAUUACCUUCACUUCCACUGUGAAACACUGGCAGGGUGUCUCUACCUUGUUGUCAGGUUCAGGUUCAGCGGGUUCAUCCUUUGGUAUGAGGCGGUCCACACUGCUGUCUGAACCCUGCCGGUUGUGACCUCGGCCUUCAAAGAGAUGAGGCUUGCUAAGAGCUGGACACGAACAGAAGGAAUAGCCAUGAUCAAGGUUUAAUAUCAGUCACCAGAGCCUGUCAGUGUGCACGUUUGCACACGUGGGUGUGUCUUUCUACUCAAACCUACCCAGUGCUGACUGCAAGAAUGGUUCUGUUGGUUCUUCUUGGGAGGAUUGUGCUGUUCCUUCGUCCUCUUCAUCCUGAAGUGUUCCGAUCUGCAUCCCCGAGUACUGGCUCUCACUGCCGUCCAGCACCUUGUGCACAGACACAAAACAAGUAUCUCCAGAAGGGAACUAAACUCUGCUGAGCAAAUUCACAAGUGCGACUAUCUGCCUUUGUUUGAAAUGCAACCGCAUGCAAGGGACACCUAGAGAGUUUCGAGUCAAUGGGUUUGGCUUCGACUGGAACAAAAGCCCGUCACAGCCUCUUAAAAGGGAAGGGGGAACACAACUAAGGCACAGAUGGUCUCCAUGCUUCUAUUUUUUGAACAGUAACAGUGGUCAGUGGUUGCUUGUUUUUACAAAGGACUUUCAAAGGCAUGUUAUUUUUGGAAGGAAAAUCACUGGAAACAAGGGGAAAAGGGAAAGAAUGUAUUGUCAAUGGUAGUAAAUAGGGGUGAGUAGCAAUAAACAGGGCAAAUUAUGUGUCAGGGUUGAGACAAACAAGCGAAUAAAAGGAAAAAGAAUUUAGAAAGCCAAAAGUUUCCAGACAAGCAAGCCCUUCCCACUCGUUUCCAAUUAGCUGACCUUGUCACUAGUGCUAGAGGAGGAGGUAGCGUAGAAAGAGGAAGAAGAGGAGAAAGAGAAAGAAGAAGACAAGGAGGAAGCAAUGUAGACAGAGGAAUUGCUGUCUGUGCCAUCGAGACCCUCGGUGGAAGUUGGCGAGGGUGGAGACAGCUUGAUCACCCGCGGCAAUGGAGUGUGUGACUGCGGUGGAGUGAGGAGAAGGAUAAAGGAGAGGCGGGGUAAGAUCAUAGAGGUGGAAUUGUAAGAAUGGAUGACCUAACAACAAAAUGUCUCCAGAGGGUAGAAGUUAAUUCGACCUGCCUCCCGAUGAUUCAAUGGAUUCGAUACAACGGGUAUUAUGAAAAAAAAACUUACAAAAAAUAAAUAAUAAAAAUAAGAAA